rnacentral:rRNA from 1 species
UACAGAGGGUGCGAGCGUUGUUCGGAGUUACUGGGCGUAAAGGGUGUGUAGGCGGUUGCUUAAGUUUGGUGUGAAAUCUCCCGGCUCAACCGGGAGGGUGCGCCGAAUACUGAGUGACUAGAGUGCGGGAGAGGAAAGUGGAAUUCCUGGUGUAGCGGUGAAAUGCGUAGAUAUCAGGAGGAACACCGGUGGUGUAAACGGCUUUCUGGACCAUAACUGACACUGAGGCACGAAAAGCGUGGGUAGCAAACAGG